AGAUAAUAUUUUUUAUACAGUUCACACAAAGUGAUCAUGAUUAACAUUAUUAAUGUUUUAUUGAAUAAUGUUCAUACAAAGGGCUCUUUGUAAAAAAUGAUUUGUUAGUACUGAAACGUUGAUGACUAACAAGUACUGUAAGUUCAGAAAUUAUAGCAUGCAUUUAUAUUUGUUAUUUUUUAAGAGCGAACAAAAUGAGAGAUUAAUUAUUGCGAUACCAAGAAAAUCUGUGUACAAUUAAAUGUAUCA
rnacentral:lncRNA from 1 species